CACUCCUGCGGGAGGCAGCAGUGGGGAAUAUUGGACAAUGGGCGCAAGCCUGAUCCAGCCAUGCCGCGUGAGUGAUGAAGGCCCUAGGGUUGUAAAGCUCUUUCACCGGUGAAGAUAAUGACGGUAACCGGAGAAGAAGCCCCGGCUAACUUCGUGCCAGCAGCCGCGGUAAUACGAAGGGGGCUAGCGUUGUUCGGAUUUACUGGGCGUAAAGCGCACGUAGGCGGACUAUUAGGUCAGGGGUGAAAUCCCGGGGCUCAACCCCGGAACUGCCUUUGAUACUGGUAGUCUUGAGUUCGAGAGAGGUGAGUGGAAUUCCGAGUGUAGAGGUGAAAUUCGUAGAUAUUCGGAGGAACACCAGUGGCGAAGGCGGCUCACUGGCUCGAUACUGACGCUGAGGUGCGAAAGCGUGGGGAGCAAACAGGAUUAGAUACCCCGGUAGUCCCA
rnacentral:rRNA from 1 species